rnacentral:rRNA from 1 species
UACGUAGGGUGCAAGCGUUAAUCGGAAUUACUGGGCGUAAAGCGUGCGCAGGCGGCUUUGCAAGACAGAUGUGAAAUCCCCGGGCUUAACCUGGGAACUGCGUUUGAAACUGGAAGGCUUGAGUGUGGCAGAGGGGGGUGGAAUUCCACGUGUAGCAGUGAAAUGCGUAGAGAUGUGGAGGAACACCGAUGGCGAAGGCAGCCCCCCUGGGCUAACACUGACGCUCAUGCACGAAAGCGUGGGGAGCAAACAGG